rnacentral:rRNA from 1 species
GAUGAACGCUGGCGGCGUGCCUAAUACAUGCAAGUCGAGCGGCAGCACGGUCUUCGGACUGGUGGCGAGCGGCGGACGGCUGAGUAACGCGUAGGAACAUGCCCUAAAGUGAGGAAUAACUGCCCGAAAGGGUGGCUAAUGCCGCAUGUGCUCUUCGGCGUAAAGCUUUAUGCGCUUUAGGAGUGGCCUGCGUCCGAUUAGCUAGUUGGUGAGGUAAAUGCUCACCAAGGCGACGAUCGGUAGCUGGUCUGAGAGGAUGAUCAGCCAGACUGGAACUGAGAACGGUCCAGACUCCUACGGGAGGCAGCAGUAGGGAAUUUUCCACAAUGGGCGAGAGCCUGAUGGAGCAACGCCGCGUGCAGGAUGAAUGCCUUCGGGUUGUAAACUGCUUUUAUGUGCGAAGAAUUUGACGGUAACACAUGAAUAAGGAUCGGCUAACUACGUGCCAGCAGCCGCAGUAA